rnacentral:rRNA from 1 species
UACGUAGGCAGCAAGCGUUGUUCGGAGUUACUGGGCGUAAAGGGUGCGUAGGCGGCCGUGUAAGUGUGGUGUGAAAUCUCCCGGCUUAACUGGGAGGGUGCGCUACAGACUGCAUGGCUAGAGUGUGGGAGAGGAAAGUGGAAUUCCUGGUGUAGCGGUGAAAUGCGUAGAUAUCAGGAGGAACACCGGUGGUGUAAACGGCUUUCUGGACACGUAUUGACGCUGAGGUGCGAAAGCGUGGGGAGCAAACAGG